UACGGAGGGUGCAAGCGUUAUCCGGAUUUACUGGGCUUAAAGGGUGCGCAGGCGGAUAUGUAAGUCAGUGGUGAAAUCUCUGGGCUUAACCCGGAAAUUGCCAUUGAUACUAUAUAUCUUGAAUGCUGUGGAGGUAAGCGGAAUAUGUCAUGUAGCGGUGAAAUGCUUAGAUAUGACAUAGAACACCUAUUGCGAAGGCAGCUUACUACGCAGAUAUUGACGCUCAUGCACGAAAGCGUGGGGAUCAAACAGG
rnacentral:rRNA from 1 species